rnacentral:rRNA from 1 species
CCUACGGGUGGCAGCAGUGAGGAAUAUUGGUCAAUGGGCGCAAGCCUGAACCAGCCAAGUCGCGUGAGGGAUGAAGGUUCUAUGGAUUGUAAACUUCUUUUAUAAGGGAAUAAAGUGUGGCACGUGUCCUAUUUUGUAUGUACCUUAUGAAUAAGGAUCGGCUAACUCCGUGCCAGCAGCCGCGGUAAUACGGAGGAUCCGAGCGUUAUCCGGAUUUAUUGGGUUUAAAGGGUGCGUAGGCGGGCUGUUAAGUCAGUGGUGAAAGUCUGUGGCUCAACCAUAGAAUUGCAGUUGAAACUGGGAGUCUUGAGUAUAGUUGAGGUAGGCGGAAUGCGUGGUGUAGCGGUGAAAUGCUUAGAUAUCACGCAGAACCCCGAUUGCGAAGGCAGCCUACCAAGCCAUGACUGACGCUGAUGCACGAAAGCGUGGGGAUCAAACAGGAUUAGAUACCCGAGUAGUC